UUGACCUCAAAUCAGGUAGGACUACCCGCUGAACUUAAGCAUAUCAAUAAGCGGAGGAAAAGAAACUAACAAGGAUUCCCCUAGUAACUGCGAGUGAAGCGGGAAAAGCUCAAAUUUGAAAUCUGGCAGUUGUUGACUGUCCGAGUUGUAAUCUAGAGAAGUGUUACCUGUGCUGGACCGUGUGCAAGUCUCCUGGAAUGGAGCGUCAUAGAGGGUGAGAAUCCCGUCUUUAACACGGACUACCAUGUACAUUAUGGUGCGCUCUCAAAGAGUCGAGUUGUUUGGGAAUGCAGCUCAAAAUGGGUGGUAAAUGCCAUCUAAAGCUAAAUAUUGGCGAGAGACCGAUAGCGAACAAGUACCGUGAGGGAAAGAUGAAAAGAACUUUGGAAAGAGAGUUAAACAGUACGUGAAAUUGCUGAAAGGGAAACGCUUGAAGUCAGUCGCGUUGGCUAGAAAUCAGCCUUGCUUUUGCUUGGUGUACUUUCUGGUUGAUGGGUCAGCAUCAAUUUUGAUCACUGGAUAAAGUCUUUGGGAAUGUGGCAUCUUUGGAUGUGUUAUAGCCCAUYGUCGCAUACAGUGGUUGGGAUUGAGGAACUCAGCACGCCGCAAGGCCAGGUUUCGACCAUGUUCGUGCUUAGGAUGCUGGCAUAAUGGCUUUAAUCGACCCGUC
rnacentral:rRNA from 1 species